rnacentral:rRNA from 1 species
UACGGAGGGGGUUAGCGUUGUUCGGAAUGACUGGGCGUAAAGCGCGCGUAGGCGGGUCGCAAAGUUAGGGGUGAAAGCCCAGGGCUCAACCCUGGAAUUGCCUUCAAGACUCGCGGUCUGGAGUUCGAGAGAGGUGGGUGGAAUUCCGAGUGUAGAGGUGAAAUUCGUAGAUAUUCGGAGGAACACCAGUGGCGAAGGCGGCCCACUGGCUCGACACUGACGCUGAGGCGCGAAAGCGCGGGGAGCAAACAGG